rnacentral:rRNA from 1 species
GACGAACGCUGGCGGCGUGCCUAAUACAUGCAAGUCGAACGAACCGCCACUAGGUUUGUGUCCUUGGUGAUGGCGGGUGGCGAAUGGGUGACUAAUACAUGGCUAACCUACCUCACAGUGGUGGCUAAGAGACGGCAGCGACUGCUAAUACCGAUUAGUUGAUACGCUCAGAUGAUUCGUUGAGGAAAGUUGUCGCAUGCCAUCGCGAUGAGUUGGAGCCGCGUUGCAUUAGCUAGUUGGUAGGGUAAUGGCCUACCAAGGCGACGAUGCAUAGCCGACCUGAGAGGGUGAUCGGCCACAUUGGAACUGAGACACGGCCCAGACUCCUACGGGAGGCAGCAGUAGGGAAUCUUCCGCAAUGGGCGAAAGUCUGACGGAGCAACGCCGCGUGAGUGAAGAAGGUCUUCGGAUCGUAAAGCUCUGUUAUUAGAGAAGAACAGCGCUGAAAGUAACUGUUAUGAGCGUGACGGUAUCUAAUCAGAAAGCCACGGCUAACUACGUG